AUACGUAGGGUGCAAGCGUUAAUCGGAAUUACUGGGCGUAAAGCGUGCGCAGGCGGUUUUGUAAGACCGAGGGGGAAUCCCCGGGCUCAACCUGGGGACUGCCUUUGUGACUGCAAGGCUAGAGGACGGCAGAGGGGGAUGGAAUUCCGCGGGUGGACGUGAAAUGCGUAGAUAUGCGGAGGAACACCGAUGGGGAAGGCAAUCCCCUGGUCCUGUGCUGACGCUCAUGCACGAAAGCGUGGGGAGCAAACAGGAUUAGAUACCCUGGUAGUCCACGCCCUAAACGAUGUCAACUGGUUGUUGGGUCUUCAUUGACUCAGUAACGAAGCUAACGCGUGAAGUUGACCGCCUGGGGAGUACGGCCGCAAGGUUGAAACUCAAAUGAAUUGGCGGGG
rnacentral:rRNA from 1 species